GAAAGUACGGAGAGAUUUCGGGGGAAAAAAUGCAUGUCAUCACUGCCUCCUCUGGCCUUUGAGUGUCAGUGGAGGGAGAUGGGGAGGCAGGGGAUGCAGAGGAAGAGUAAAGCAGGAAGGCUGUACUUCUUCCCUAGGGCAUGGCUUGCAUUAGGACUCCUUCAGGCCCUUUUGUGUGCCAGCACGGAGAGCCCAGAAUCAUACCCCAUACUGUCCUGAUUUACCCCAGUGCGCUUGGCCAGAGAUAGGGAUGUGUGUCUUGGCCCAUAUCUGCACUUGGCCAUGUUGGGGGCUGCAGGCACAGCAAUGCCAUAGGGUUUUUCCCCACCUGCUGCUGUGGGUCUGUGAGCAGAGAGCAUCUCACUUCAAAAAGGGCUGUCGCAGCAAGGAGAGUUGUCCCAUUCCCAGCAGCCAGUCAGGGGCUGGGUCUCCCCUUCUUGAGAUGGGGGGUAGAAAUUCAGCCCAGGACCAUGGGUCGUGUGUAAGUAAUGCCACGCAAGAGGGCAGUCAGCAUCCUACACAAUAUCAAGGUUGUAUAAUCAGUGUGAAAAGCAGUGGUAACCCAACACAAUCUGCAUCUAGGGAAGAAGAAACAAGGUGGGCAGAUCACCAUCUACUGCCUGUGCGGAACUAUUCCUUCUUGUCCCAUAGUCCUGGGCUGAAUUUCCACCCCCACAGCUCAAGGAGGGGUGGCCCAGUUCCUAACUGGAUGCAUGACCUCCCUGUCCCUGUCCCUGCUUCCCCUCCUUCCCCAUCUCCCUGCCCUGACAGAUGGACGGCAGAUGAGGGUGUGAUAACACACCUUAUUUCCCCAAAAUCACUCUUUCUUGGGAAGCGACAAAGGUGGAAGAAUUGUGGGCAGCUGCCUGUUUUUGUCCAAACGUCUGCAGCCCUGAGUCCCAUGUCCCUCACCCACAGACACCACCAUGUUUCAGAUGGCUGAAUGAGGCCAAAGACAAUGGAGAUCAUGUUCAGCUCUACAUUCUCCAUCCCUGUGAAGUCUAUCACAGGAAAAUCUACUUUUGUCCCGUUAUCUUUGGACGAUACGGUUCUGGACCUAAAGAUGAAGCUAUUUGCAUGGGAUAAGAAUUUCUACCCUUUUGAGUCAGUGCUGAUUCAUGAUGGCCAGGAGUUGGCAAACGAACUAACUCUCAGACAUUACAACAUUACAUCCAACAGCAUUGUACUCCACAUUCUUAGGCGUAAGUACCAGGCCAGAGGUGGGUGUGGGAGCAGGCUGGCCUCUGGCUGCCAAGGGGAGGGGGCAAGAGGACUGUCAGCCAGGGAGCCCUGUGCCUUGGGAGGGAAGAACUGUGAGGGGAGGGCAGAAAGGAAAAUGGAUGUGGGGAAAUGCUUCCCCUGAUGUGACCGGGCUCCUGAGCUCUCCUCUGCUCUGUGAUGCUGUUGCAAUGUGAGCUGGUGGUUCAGCUCCCUUAAAGGAGAAGAUGUCUCAGGUAAGAUCACAGUCCUCACUGGCACUCUUGUGGAGGGAGGGGAUCUGCAUGUGUGGUGAGUGUGUGUCCACUUCAUACGUGGAAACUGUGGUAAAUCUGGGAGCAUUUUAUUCCAACCACAAAUGAACGAGAAGAGAUUCAAUUUCCAUUGAUGGAACUGCAGGACUUUCUGCCAUACUCCUCCACAAUGAUAGAAACGCAGAGCGGCUUAGCACGCAUCACAAGUGUAGAAUGGAAGGGCGCUCCAGCAGAUGCCACCUAAUGGAUGGAAAUUCAGGAUUGUCUGGCAGGCAUCACCUCAGCAAGAGCACAGGUGAGGUCUGGUGGGAUUCCCGAGGCCUGGGACAGAGGGAGGAGUGUGACAGAGCCGGGCAGCAGGCAGGGCUGGGCACCACGAGCCCACAGCCAUCCCUGCAGGGAUCUGUGGCACUCAGUGCCCUGCAGUGGGGCUGGCCUGUGCUGCAUCCAGGAGGCCUCUCCUCGUACCCUAGCAAGCAAGACAGCUGAGUGAAGGAAUGUGGCUUGGGAGUGUUCUUCCUGUGUUCCCUUCUCCAGGAAAUCCAGAAAUGGCUACAGUCAGAUGUCCCAGAGGACGACAAAAGUUGUCACGCUGUGAUUCAGGUAAGGGUCUUUGCCAGAUCUGGGCCAAGACACGUGUCCCCAUCUCUGGCCAAGCACACUGGGACAAAUCAGGACAGCACAGGAUAUGAUCCUGGGCUGCCCUUGGUUACACACAGAAGGGUCUGAAGUAGUCCUAAUGCAAGCCAUGCCCUCAGGAAGAAGCUCUGCCUCCCUGCCUCCCUGCCUCUCUGCUUCCCCUCCCUCCCCAUCUUCCUGCCCUGACAGAUGGAAGUCAGAGGAGGGAGUAAUGACAUCAGUCCAUUCUUACACUUUCUAGGGAAGCGACACAGGCGGAAGAAUUGUUGGAAGCUGCUUGUUCCUGGCUGAACGUCUGCAGCCCUGAGACUCGUGCCCCUCACCCAUGGACACUGCCGUGUUUCAGGUGGCUGAAAGAGGCAAAGCAAAGAGGGCGGAGACCACGCUCAGCGCCACAUUCUUCAUCCCAGUGGUGUCUGCUUCAAGAGAAAUUAUUUUUGUGCCGUUAUCUUUGGAUGACACUGUUCUGGACCUAAAGAUGAAGCUAUUUCCACUGGAUAGCAACUCCUACUCUUCUGAGUCCAUGAUUCAUGAUGGAUCGGAGCUGAUGAAUGAAUGAAAUUUGAGACAACAUUGCCUCCAGCAGCACUGUACAGAAAUUUCUUAGGUAUAAGUACCAGGGGGGAAGAAGGGAGUGGCCAUGGGAGCAGGCUGGCCUCUGGCUGCCAAGGAGAAGGGGCAAGAGGACCGUUUAUCAGCGUGCUCUGUGCCUUGGGAGGACUGCCUUUUUUAGGGCAUUUUGGGUUCUCAGAGGGGAGAGGGGGAGCCACACUCCGGGAUUACCUACCACGCAAAUAAAGAAAAGUGCACCUCCUUGCAGGCCAUCAGACGCACUUCCUCCGGCCUGCUCUUUUGAUGCAGAGAAACGCUUGCCCUGCCGUCUACUACCUGCGAGGUGGUGGUUCAGCUCCCUUAAAGCGCAAGGAAGAUGUCUCAGGUAAGAUCACAGUCCUCACUGGCACUCUUGUGGAGGGAGGGGAUCUGCAUGGGUGGUGAGUGUGUGUCCACUUCAUACAUGGAAGCUGUGGUAAAUCUGGGAGCAUGCGGUGGUGCAUCAGGGGACUGUGCAGCUAAUGGGAUGGGAAGAAUGGGUGAAGGUAGGAUGGCUGCAAUUUGGUUGGAAAAGUCCCAUUUGAUCAAAUCCAACCAUCCACCUAACAUUACAAAUCCACCUUUAAACCUUCCCCCUCAGUGCCACAGCCACACGUCCCUUAAAUACCUCCAGGGACUGGGACUCCACCACCUUCCUGGGCAGUCUGUCCCAAUGCCUGGCCACCAAUUCUGGGAACAAAUUCUUCCCGACAUCCAGCCUGAACUUCCCCAGUGCCACCUCACAUCCUUUUGCAUGUCACCCAAGAGACCAACACUGUCCUCAGCAGCAUCCUCCUUUCAAGUGAUUGCAGUGAGUUGUAGAGACAAAGACCAUCGUCUUGAUCCAGACCAAGAACCAGAGGUGCAACUGCAGAGCAGUCAGGCAGGCAACACCUCAGAGACAGAGGUAGAAGCCAUUUCAGCAGGCAUUGCCUCAACAAGAGUAAAGGUGAGGUCUGGUGGGAUGCCUGAGGCCUGGGACAGAGGGAGGAGUGCAACCGGGCUGGGCAGCAGGCAGGGCUUUGCACCAUGAACCCGCAGCCAUUCCUGCAGGGAUCUAUGACACUCAGUGUCCUGCAGUGGGGCUGGCCUGUGCUGCAUCUAGGAGGCCUCUCCUUGUACCCCUGGCAAGCAAGCAUGGCUGAGGGGAGAAUUAUGGCUUGGGAGUGUUCUUCCUGUGUUCCCUUCUCCAGGAAAUGCAGAUAUGGCUACAGUCAGAUGUCCCAGAAGAGGAGAGAAACUGUCACUGUGUGAGGCAGGUAAGGGCCCUUGCAUACAGCACUGCUCUGCAUUGGUUUUAUUGGUCUCACAGGGCACAGCAGGCAGAUCGCUGUCCCACCAGUACCUCCAGGACUUGUUGAUAACAGCAAUUAUUUGGUCUACAGAAGAGUCUAGUCACCUUCUUGCACUAACUCAGCAUGCAUUGAUCUGUUUUAUAUUAUUGACAAGGCAAGGAUUUUAAGGAUUUGACAGCAAUGAUCAGCGAUGUUCAAGGAUCAUGAGCAUAUAUGUCCCAUGCCUGCCUUGGAUUCGAGGGCGGUUGCCAGUCAUUGAUUUUCCUGCCCUCUUCUCUGAUGUGUGAUGUAUUCUGGACAGCACACAGCAGAGUCUGUAGUCCUCUUGUUCUGAAAAGGUAAAAGAAACACAGUAUACUUGAUACACAAACACAGCAGCAAGUAAAUGAAAGCAACUUUCAUGAGCGCUCCUUUGCUGAACAGCUGCUUCCCACCAUGUCAUGUGUCUGAGUAAGAGCAGGUGUCUGGGGGCUGUUUGGUGCCAGGCAGCUGAAAGAAGGCACCAUGCUGGGUCACCUUAGGCCAUGUGUCAGAGCCAGCAAACAGGGUACCAGGCACUACACCCUUCUGGCUUUCAAGCUGUUAACUCCUUCACCAUCCUUUCUUCUAUGUGGUUUCUCUGAUCUGGACGGGGGGAAAAAAAGAGCAAAAUAAUAUUGCUUGGGCAGAGCUGCUCAUUACCUUGCUGCUGCUUGUGUGGUUCACAGCUCAUGGGUCAACCUGCAUUGUACUUCACUGCAGCUCUCAGCACACCUCCUGCAAGCAGCAUCCACUGCACAACACCUCAAUCAGCCCCAAACCAGUUGCUCUUGUAUUGCAGGAAUUUCAAGAAGUGAAGCCAGAGGUAGAUCCACACACUUUGAAGGAACAAAACAUAUACAAAGCUUGUCUCCCUGGACCAGGCAUCUUCAAGUGCUCU